rnacentral:rRNA from 1 species
CGGCUGAGUAACGCGUGGGUGACCUGCCCAGAAGUGGGGAAUAACUGCCCGAAAGGGUGGCUAAUACCGCAUGUGGUCAUGAGUUCAUUCUUAUGACCAAAGCCUUAGGGCGCUUUUGGAGGGGCCUGCGUUCGAUUAGCUCGUUGGUGAGGUAACGGCUCACCAAGGCGACGAUCGAUAGGUGGUCUGAGAGGAUGAUCACCCAGACUGGGACUGAGACACGGCCCAG